GACGAACGCUGGCGGCGUGCUUAACACAUGCAAGUCGAACGGAAAGGCCCUGCUUUUGUGGGGUGCUCGAGUGGCGAACGGGUGAGUAACACGUGAGUAACCUGCCCUUGACUUUGGGAUAACUUCAGGAAACUGGGGCUAAUACCGGAUAGGAGCUCCUGCUGCAUGGUGGGGGUUGGAAAGUUUCGGCGGUUGGGGAUGGACUCGCGGGUUAUCAGCUUGUUGGUGGGGUAGUGGCUGACCAAGGCUUUGACGGGUAGCCGGCCUGGGAGGGUGACCGGGCACAAUGGGACUGAGGUACGGACCAGAGUGCAACGGGGGGCAGCGGGGGGGAAUAUUGCACAGUGGGCGGAAGCCUGAUGCAGCAACGCCGCGGGCGGGAUGACGGCCUGCGGGGAAUGAACCGCUUCCGGCUGUGACGCAGCGUUAGUGACGGUAAUGGAUAAAGAAGCACCGGCUAACUACGUG
rnacentral:rRNA from 1 species